rnacentral:lncRNA from 1 species
CACUGAGCUAAAUCCCCGACCCAUUUCUGAUUUUUAUAAUGAACUCACUGAAGCCUUGAGCAAGAAAUAAAACACUGCCGGGGAUUUAGCUCAGUGGUUUCACUGCCUGCUGCGCAAGCACAAGGACCCGAGUUCGAUCCCUGGUACCAAAAAAAAAAAUUACAAGCUAUAAUAAUAGUGUAAUAAUGGCACAAACAGUGCUGUAGAGACUCAGAUGGCGUACCAUGCAGGCUGAACUACUACGCCCACUAGGUGACCAAAGACAGUCCAGUCCUCGAAAAGUAAAGUGUCAGUAAAUACUGGCUAGUGAGGCAAAGGACAACUCAGUAGCAUGUACCCAAUGAAUAUAGUUUACAAAACAGUAGGACAUGAGGGUCCAGGGAUUUAGCUCAGUGGUUCUGCCACCUGCCUUGCAAGCACAAGGUCCGGAGUUUGAUCCCUGGUACCAAAAAAAAAAAAAAAAAAGUAGGACAUGAAAAACCAGGACAUUUCCAUUUUAAAGCACUUUUAUUUAUUUAUUCUUUGUUUUUGUUUUGGGGUUUGUUUGAGACAGGGUCCACCAUGUACCCCAGGAGGAUCGCCUCAAGUUCAAGGCCAGUCCGGGCUACAUAGUGAGUUCAAGGCCAGCCUGAAUUACUUAGCAAGACCCUGUCUCAAAAAGAAAAAAACAGGGCCAGGGAUAUAGCUCAGUGGUGCCGCACCUGCCUGUCAAGCACAAGGUCCUGAGUUCGAUCCCUGGUACCGCAAAGAAAAAAUAAUGAUGAUUUUGUUGCUCUAGAACCUGAUCAAAGACAUCCAAACAUUCCAUUUGGAGAUGUGCUGAUGUUUGAGAAACUCUGGACUUUGGUAGGGACAGUGGGGGUCCACAGUGUUCCUGCCUGGAACUGUUCCCCUUCUCAUUCCUCCUGCCUAGCACUGUGGCGGUUCUGCCAGGACCAAACAAGACUAAGCUGCCGUGGUUGGCAGGAGGCUCACUCCACUCAGAGUGGUGAGUGAUGGCUGUGCCCAGCAGCAUGGAGCUGAAGCAGUGAUCUUGGUGCUGUGUGAGCAGGGAGGGCCCGGGGCCCCAGAAGCCCAAGGUUACAGCCAGGCAAGCAGUGCAGAGGCUGCACACGAGUACCAGCAAUCAGAAAGGGUCCAAGCCACUGGCACCCUUGGCCAUGCAUAUGCAGAAGUGAGGAAAUAAGGCUUGGCAAAGCAGGGUGUGUGUCGCAGUGGCAGAGCACUUGCCUAAGGUGCAAGUACCCGGGUUCAAAGCGCAGCACCAACAAAAACACAAGGUGUGUGUGUUGCGGGGGGAGGUGCUCAGCAAAAAGGAGAAGUCGAGACAGAUCUGAGGUUGGCCUUGAGUGCUUACAUCACUCACCUCGAACUUCGACAGAUCCAUCAACAGGGCAGAGAUCACACUGACUGGUAUUUGAGCACAACCUCUGCAGUUACUGGUUGGCCACUACCCUCCACAGACAGGGCAUCCCCCUAAAAGUAGACUAAAGAUAAACACAAGAUGAGCUGGGCGUGCUGGCACAUUCCCCAAAUCCCAGCACUUAGGAGGCUGAGGCAGGAGAAUCACAAAUUCCAGUCCCACCUGGGCAACUUGGCAAAGCCUUGUUUCAAAAAAUUAAAAAAGGGCUGGGGAUGUAACUUGGUGCAAAGGCCCUGGGGUACAAUCCCCAGUACGGAAGAAUGAAAAUUUAAAACUAAAUAAAACUCCAUACAGAUUAUAAAAAAGAACCAAGCAAAAAUUCUGAUGUUGAAAAAAGUACAAUCAUACAUGAAAAGUUAUCUAGAGAGGCUCGGAUCUAGAUCUGAGAUGGCAGAAGAAAAUAAGUACACCUGAAGAUAGACUAAUAGGAAUUAUUCAGUCAGGGGAACAAAUGGAAGAGAGUGAGCAGAAGAGAAUCCUGGAGACCGGGACAUCAAGCAUGUGUGCAAGGAAGAAAAAAAAUUUGAGGAAAUCAUGGCAGAAAACUUCUCAAAUUUUUUUUUAAAAACCCAUUAACCUAAACAGCCAAGAAACUCGACAAAAUUCAGGAACGAUGAAUAUAAAGAGAUCCCCACCUAAGUACACCAUAUUUAAACUGCUGGAUGCCAAAAGCAAAGAGAAAAACUGAAAGCAGCGGGAGAAAUAAGACCUGUCACCAGAGGAGACCACCAGCGUGAGCGACCGCUGACUGCUCACCCGGGAUGAGGGUCCAGACUGACCACGGAUUCCAAGAUGGAAUAAACCCAAAGCAAACGGCCAGCCGCAAAACACAGCCAUAUCAACAUCAAUCAGAAGAGGGCUGGAGUCGCUAUCUAAAUACCAAAUAGAACAGACUUUUGGGUAAAUAGUACUAGACAGAGCUGCUUCAUAAUAAGAGGACCAGUGCAUCAGCAAAAUGUAACAACUGCACCCAGUAAGAGCCUCAGAUGCUCUAAAGCACUAGCGAUGGCCAGAGGCUACGCCUGGCGUGACUUUAGGGUUGGGCCUAACUUAAUCUGUUAAACCUCGUACGGAAAUACUGGAAUUUAAUUUUUUAGAUUAGUAUUUCUUUGAGCACAGUGCCCUCUACUGGUACUCAUAUAAAUUAAAACGCAGUUUGUGCCUGUUUGAUGAAAGAAAGGUUGUUUGAUUAGGUAAGGAAGAAUACAUAGAAAUCUCCCUUGAGUCACAAGUGAGUCUUGCUGGCUGACUUAUCACAGCAGCAGUAAACCAGGCUAAGCUAUACAGAGGCAGAGGUUCCUAAUAAGGAAACAGGAGCCUAUAGUGGUGGUUUGCAAUCCUGGUUGCAUAAUACCAGGGAGGUUAUUACACAGUUAAUGCCCAGGCUUCCCUCUUAGUGAUUUUGAUUUCGUUAGAAUCUCUUUAAGGUCCCCGGAUGAUCCUAGUACAAAAAAAAAAAAACUAGGGAUGAGAAGUACUGCCAUACAGUAAAAGCUUUCCCUGUCUCACUGCGCUCACCAAUAUUGGUAAGAAAUUAAUGAGUUUGGCCAGAAUUUGCUUCCUAAUUUACAAAGCACUCUGUCAAGGAAUGACUCAUAGAGAAAAGUCUUACCAAACCAGAAGAAUGUCUUGGCCAGGCCCCGGCAAUGCUACCAAUAAUCUUGGCAUCCAAGGGCAGAGAUAAUUAUUCUGAAGUUAUUGGUUGUUGUUUUGAGACAGGACUCCCUCUGUAGUCCAGGCUGGCCUUGAACUUACUUGGUAGCUCAAUUUAGCCUCAAACGCAUGGUGAUCCUCCUGCCUCUCAGCGUUAUUCUGAAGAUUUUCAAGUUGAAGAUGGCUGGGAGUGUGCAUAUAUGUAAUUCUAGCACCCUGGGAGGCUGAGGCAGAAUAAUACCAAAUUUGAGCCCAGCUUGAGCAAAUUAGGAUUUAGCAAGACACUGUCUCAAAAUAAAGAAAUUUUUUAAAAGGCCAAGAUGUGGUUCAGUACAAAGGACCUGGUUUAAAUCCCCAGUACUGCAAAGAAGAGAGGGGAGGAAAGAGGAGAGAGAAGGAACACAGCUAGCUGCAUUGCACAAGACACAUGGAAGGCACACAGAGCUUCUAUGCUGUCUCUAGGCCCGCCGCUCUCCAGCUACUCAGCUAGCCACCAGCUCCCUGGCCUUUGGGAUCUUAUGGAGUCUUGGGGUCUUGGGGUUUUAUGGAGUUUCAUGGCACAGGCUUAAUUAAAUCACUGGCCACUGAGAUCAGUUGGGACCUGCCCCCACCCACAGGCCGGAUGGUGGGGUUGAAAGUCCUUCGCUUCUAAUAGUGCCUUCGUCUUUCCAGCUAUCUAGGGGUUCCCAGACACUGAGCUAUACACCCCCUCCCUCUGUCUAAGACAUUGAGGCUGGGCUUGAACUUUUGAUCCAGCUCGCUCAGCCUCCCAGAUGGCUAGGAUUACAGGUAUGUUGUGUCCAGGGUGAGCAGCUGUCUAGGAUCAAAAGCUCAGCACCAAUAAUGAAUUAGAGACGGAGUUUACAAAAGGAAGGUGAUUUAUUUGUAGGGAGGAAAAAGCAGCAGACAGUAAACUGUCCCACAGAUGGGGCGGGGACUAUGGAAAGGUGGAUACCCGAGCUCUUAUCCCUGGCUACUUAUUAGGACUAGUGACCCUUUCCUCCAUGUGGGCACCUGGAGCUUGUCAAAAUCUGCCUGGCUGCCUGGCUGUCUUUAGCCCUAACCUGGGCACCUUUGCCCUCAGGCGCAUUCUUUCUGGUGGGCUUCAUUUGAUUCCUUCCUGCCCUUUUGUCAUGCAUACGUUGGUGAGGGGUAGAGAAAAGCAGUAUGAAGUUAGUAACUAGGGGGAUGUGUAUACCUAGUGCAGUAAUAUGGUGACCCUGAAGUAUGUGAAUUAGCCAGAAACUCCCCAAUAGCCUGUGCCUGAACUUUACCCCCUUUUCCUCCCCAGAUUGCUUGUUCAAAAUGAUUAGUUAACCAGCACAUAGCUUACCUUGUGGUUGAGAUCAAAGGACAGAACAUAUCUUGUCUUGUGGUUAAGAACAAAGGACAGGGCAUGUUAUUCUGCGGCCCUAACCAUAAAGAUAGGAAUUUCCUGCCAGAUCCCAAUAUUGGAUUUUAAUCUAACUUGCUAUCUGCUUCUAUAGCCCUGUGCUUGCUCAAAGAUGAGACCAUGGCAUUCUAUUGUGUGGUUUUUCCCUUUAAAAACUGGGCUUCCCUGCUUGCUCAGUACCAAAAGGAGUUAAGAGUGAGAGCUCACCUUUUGGUCCCCGGCUAUUAAAGGACUUUUAAUUUGGACAUUUUUUGUAGCAUGAUUCUUUUCGCUGAAACGGCUGUAACAACCCUAACCCUAUACUGAGAAAUAUAUACAUAUGUAUAUAAAUGCACGGGUGUAUUUUCACACGCUAAGAGUUAGGUGCCGCCCCUUGUCUCCUAUGCAUUUUAUUAGAGGUGGGGGAAGCGGGGCAGUUAUGCUUCUGGUUUCUGGUUUUUCAUGCUUAUGGCUCCCUCAGAGCUUCGUCUAUCAGCUCUUUCUCUGGUAAAUUCUUAUGUUAAUUGCCUUUCUAGGUCUGGUUUCUUUCCCAUUGUCCUUUUAACCAGCUCAAAUCUAACUGCAGAGGCAAAAGUCGCUUUGAGUAAGAUUUUCUAUUUUUUUUUUAUUUUAGUAAGAUUUUCUAUUGAUCUCUUUAAUAACUAACACCUGAUGGGACCCUUAUUCUAUUUGUUCCCUGCCUACAGGUAGGUAUAUACCACCAUGCCAACUACAUCUACUGCAUACAUUUUCUUUCCCGAC